rnacentral:rRNA from 1 species
CUGCCAGUCAUAUGCUUGUCUCAAAGAUUAAGCCAUGCAUGUCUCAGUACCUGCCGACCUAAGGCGAAACCGCGAAUGGCUCAUUAAAUCAGUCAUGAUUUAUGGGAUGUUGUAAAAUCCUUACUCGGAUAACUGUGGUAAUUCUAGAGCUAAUACGUGCAACUAGUCUCCGACCCCGGCCCGUCGCGGUCGGGGGAAGGGCGCAUUUGUUAGACCAAAAACCGGGUGGACAGUCGGGGCAAUCUCCGCUUCGCGCGGCAGCAUUCGUCCUCGUCCAUUCCUCUACGGUUAUGUGGUGACUCUGGAUAACUAUAGCCGAGCGCUGAGGUCUUAGUACCGGCGCCGUAUCCUUCAAGUGUCUGCCUUAUCAGCUCUCGAUUGUAGGUUAUUCGCCUACAAUGGCUGUAACGGGUAACGGGGAAUCAGGGUUCGAUUCCGGAGAGGGAGCCUGAGAAACGGCUACCACAUCUAAGGAAGGCAGCAGGCACGCAAAUUACCCAAUCCCGGCUCGGGGAGGUAGUGACGAAAAAUAACGAUGCGGGACUCUUCCGAGGCCUCGCAAUCGGAAUGAGU